CUGAUGUGUUAAAGCAGGCCUACUUACCUGUAAGGAACUAUGAAACCUGCUCCAGGAGUGACUGGUGGGGCAGCAUAGUCAAGAAAAGCAUGGUCUGUGCAGGAGGCUCCAGGAACUCUGGAUGCAGUGGUGACUCUGGUGGCCCACUGAACUGUAAGGUCAAAGGACGUUACUAUGUCCAUGGUGUGACCAGUUUUGGGUCUUCCCUCCGUUGCAACACGCCAAAGAAACCCACCGUUUUCACCCGAGUCUCAGCUUACAUCGGCUGGAUGGAAGGAAUUAUGGGUUAUUAAAACCAUGAGGUCAAGUGUCAUAAUGACACUCAACUGGAUACUUUCUCAUCAUUGAAGAUAUGAUCCAUCUUUCACAAAUUUCUCUCCACUUCAGACAUGUCAGAUCAACUGACAUACUGUAAAGUUUCUUGAUCACUCUGAACAUUGUGUCCAUCUGAUUUGUAUUCCACUUUUAGUUC